rnacentral:rRNA from 1 species
UCCGCCUAUUACCAUUUGGUUAAGGAGGUGUAGUAAUUUUUAUUGUAACUAACUUACACAUGUAAAUUUCUGCCCUUGAUCUAGCGUUAUAGACAGAGACUAUAUUAAGACUAUCUAAGUAACGGUGUACAUAAUUAAUAAAGAAAUAACGGGGCGUAUCGAUUAUGGGCAAGUUCCUCUAAUAAAAUCGAGCCGC